rnacentral:rRNA from 1 species
AGAGUUUGAUCAUGGCUCAGAUUGAACGCUGGCGGCAUGCCUAACACAUGCAAGUCGAACGGCAGCACAGAGGAGCUUGCUCCUUGGGUGGCGAGUGGCGGACGGGUGAGUAAUGCAUCGGGACCUACCCAGACGUGGGGGAUAACCUCGGGAAACCGGGACUAAUACCGCAUACGUCCUACGGGAGAAAGCGGGGGACCUUCGGGCCUCGCGCGGUUGGACGGACCGAUGUGCGAUUAGCUAGUUGGUAAGGUAAUGGCUUACCAAGGCGACGAUCGCUAGCUGGUCUGAGAGGAUGAUCAGCCACACUGGGACUGAGACACGGCCCAGACUCCUACGGGAGGCAGCAGUGGGGAAUAUUGGACAAUGGGCGAAAGCCUGAUCCAGCAAUGCCGCGUGUGUGAAGAAGGCCCUCGGGUUGUAAAGCACUUUCGGUGGGGACAAAAAGCGUUGCACUAACACUGCAAUGUUUGAUUUAACCCAUAGAAGAAGCACCGGCUAACUCUGUGCCAGCCGCCGCGGUAAUAC